GGUGGUUCUCGGGUGAUGCACCCUGGAAUCGGGCUCCCUCCUCUCUGGUUCUGAGUGCGUCACCUAAGAACUGCA
rfam:Myotis brandtii contig318891, whole genome shotgun sequence.